rnacentral:tmRNA from 1 species
GGGGGUGAAAUUGGUUUCGACGGGAUUAUUAGUUCUUUGAAUUGCGCACCGUGUUCUCCGUAGACACGUUAAACGACGGAACAAAAUCUAAAUGGCGAAUCUAAUUACGCUUUAGCUGCGUAACUAAUAGUUAUACAGCCGUUCAUUAAAUCCCUUCGCAUCGGGAUUUAUUCGAACGCCGAUUAGGUGCGAUAGCCUGACUGAGUUUCCGAGUAACGAGGGCGAAUCUUUUUUUCGGAAUAGCUGAUGUAAAUCCUGUCUGCCGGAGCUGCUUCAGCGAAAAUUAAAAGGCGGACUAUGUGCGUAGAAGUUCCUAGAAUUGUAGUUUCGGACGCGGGUUCGACUCCCGCCACCUCCACUA